UACGGAGGGAGCUAGCGUUGUUCGGAAUUACUGGGCGUAAAGCGCACGUAGGCGGCUUUGUAAGUUAGGGGUGAAAGCCCGGAGCUCAACUCCGGAAUUGCCUUUAAGACUGCAUCGCUUGAAUCCGGGAGAGGUGAGUGGAAUUCCGAGUGUAGAGGUGAAAUUCGUAGAUAUUCGGAAGAACACCAGUGGCGAAGGCGGCUCACUGGCCCGGUACUGACGCUGAGGUGCGAAAGCGUGGGGAGCAAACAGGG
rnacentral:rRNA from 1 species